AGGGUUUGAUCAUGGCUCAGAUUGAACGCUGGCGGCAGGCUUAACACAUGCAAGUCGAGCGGAAACGAUGGUAGCUUGCUACCAGGCGUCGAGCGGCGGACGGGUGAGUAAUGCUUAGGAAUCUGCCCAGUAGUGGGGGACAACAGUCGGAAACGGCUGCUAAUACCGCAUACGCCCUACGGGGGAAAGCAGGGGAUCUUCGGACCUUGCGCUAUUGGAUGAGCCUAAGUCGGAUUAGCUAGUUGGUGAGGUAAAGGCUCACCAAGGCCACGAUCCGUAGCUGGUUUGAGAGGAUGAUCAGCCACAUCGGGACUGAGACACGGCCCGAACUCCUACGGGAGGCAGCAGUGGGGAAUAUUGGACAAUGGGGGCAACCCUGAUCCAGCCAUGCCGCGUGUGUGAAGAAGGCUUUCGGGUUGUAAAGCACUUUCAGCGAGGAGGAAGGCUCUAAAGCUAAUACCUUUAGGGAUUGACGUUACUCGCAGAAGAAGCACCGGCUAACUCCGUGCCAGCAGCCGCGGUAAUACGGAGGGUGCAAGCGUUAAUCGGAAUUACUGGGCGUAAAGCGCGCGUAGGUGGUUGAGUAAGCGAGAUGUGAAAGCCCCGGGCUUAACCUGGGAACGGCAUUUCGAACUGCUCGGCUAGAGUGUGGUAGAGGGUAGUGGAAUUUCCUGUGUAGCGGUGAAAUGCGUAGAUAUAGGAAGGAACACCAGUGGCGAA
rnacentral:rRNA from 1 species